GAUUAACGCUGGCGGCGUGCCUAACACAUGCAAGUCGAACGAGGUAGCAAUACCUAGUGGCAGACGGGUGAGUAACGCGUGGUCAACCUACCCUAGAGUGGGGGAUAACUAGCCGAAAGGUUAGCUAAUACCGCAUGAAACGUGCCGGGGCAUCUCGGAAUGUUGAAAGGAGCAAUCCGCUCAAGGACGGGACCGCGUCCCAUUAGCUAGUUGGUGGGGUAACGGCCUACCAAGGCACCGANGGGGUAGCUGGUUUGAGAGAGCGACCAGCCACACUGGGACUGAGAAACGGCCCAGACUCCUACGGGAGGCAGCAGUGAGGAAUUUUCCGCAAUGGGCGAAAGCCUGACGGAGCGACGCCGCGUGU
rnacentral:rRNA from 1 species